rnacentral:rRNA from 1 species
GGGUUGUGAGGUUAAGCGACUAAGCGUACACGGUGGAUGCCCUGGCAGUCAGAGGCGAUGAAGGACGUGCUAAUCUGCGAAAAGCGUCGGUAAGGUGAUAUGAACCGUUACAGCCGGCGAUGUCCGAAUGGGGAAACCCAGUGCAAUUCGUUGCACUAUCGUUAACUGAAUACAUAGGUUAACGAGGCGAACCGGGGGAACUGAAACAUCUAAGUACCCCGAGGAAAAGAAAUCAACCGAGAUUCCCCCAGUAGCGGCGAGCGAACGGGGAGCAGCCCAGAGUCUGAAUCAGCUUGUGUGUUAGUGGAACGGUCUGGAAAGUCCGACGGUACAGGGUGAUAGUCCCGUACACCAAAAUGCACAGGCUGUGAACUCGAAGAGUAGGGCGGGACACGUGGUAUCCUGUCUGAAUAUGGGGGGACCAUCCUCCAAGGCUAAAUACUCCUGACUGACCGAUAGUGAACCAGUACCGUGAGGGAAAGGCGAAAAGAACCCCGGCGAGGGGAGUGAAAAAGAACCUGAAACCGUGUACGUACAAGCAGUGGGAGCACCUUUAUGGUGUGACUGCGUACCUUUUGUAUAAUGGGUCAGCGACUUAUAUUCUGUAGCAAGGUUAACCGUAUAGGGGAGCCGCAGGGAAACCGAGUCUUAACUGGGCGUUAAGUUGCAGGGUAUAGACCCGAAACCCGGUGAUCUAGCCAUGGGCAGGUUGAAGGUUGGGUAACACUAACUGGAGGACCGAACCGACUAAUGUUGAAAAAUUAGCGGAUGACUUGUGGCUGGGGGUGAAAGGCCAAUCAAACCGGGAGAUAGCUGGUUCUCCCCGAAAGCUAUUUAGGUAGCGCCUCGUGAACUCAUCUUCGGGGGUAGAGCACUGUUUCGGCUAGGGGGUCAUCCCGACUUACCAACCCGAUGCAAACUACGAAUACCGAAGAAUGUUAUCACGGGAGACACACGGCGGGUGCUAACGUCCGUCGUGAAGAGGGAAACAACCCAGACCGCCAGCUAAGGUCCCAAAGUCACAGUUAAGUGGGAAACGAUGUGGGAAGGCACAGACAGCCAGGAUGUUGGCUUAGAAGCAGCCAUCAUUUAAAGAAAGCGUAAUAGCUCACUGGUCGAGUCGGCCUGCGCGGAAGAUGUAACGGGGCUAAACUGUGCACCGAAGCUGCGGCAGCGACACUAUGUGUUGUUGGGUAGGGGAGCGUUCUGUAAGCCUGCGAAGGUGGCCUGUGAGGGUUGCUGGAGGUAUCAGAAGUGCGAAUGCUGACAUAAGUAACGAUAAUGCGGGUGAAAAGCCCGCACGCCGGAAGACCAAGGGUUCCUGUCCAACGUUAAUCGGGGCAGGGUGAGUCGACCCCUAAGGCGAGGCCGAAAGGCGUAGUCGAUGGGAAACAGGUUAAUAUUCCUGUACUUGGUGUUACUGCGAAGGGGGGACGGAGAAGGCUAUGUUAGCCGGGCGACGGUUGUCCCGGUUUAAGCAUGUAGGCGGAGGUUCCAGGUAAAUCCGGUACCUUAUUAACGCUGAGGUGUGAUGACGAGGCACUACGGUGCUGAAGUAACAAAUGCCCUGCUUCCAGGAAAAGCCUCUAAGCAUCAGGUAACAUUAAAUCGUACCCCAAACCGACACAGGUGGUCAGGUAGAGAAUACCAAGGCGCUUGAGAGAACUCGGGUGAAGGAACUAGGCAAAAUGGUGCCGUAACUUCGGGAGAAGGCACGCUGAUAUGUAGGUGAAGUCCCUGCGGAUGGAGCUGAAAUCAGUCGAAGAUACCAGCUGGCUGCAACUGUUUAUUAAAAACACAGCACUGUGCAAACACGAAAGUGGACGUAUACGGUGUGACGCCUGCCCGGUGCCGGAAGGUUAAUUGAUGGGGUUAUCCGUAAGGAGAAGCUCUUGAUCGAAGCCCCGGUAAACGGCGGCCGUAACUAUAACGGUCCUAAGGUAGCGAAAUUCCUUGUCGGGUAAGUUCCGACCUGCACGAAUGGCGUAAUGAUGGCCAGGCUGUCUCCACCCGAGACUCAGUGAAAUUGAACUCGCUGUGAAGAUGCAGUGUACCCGCGGCAAGACGGAAAGACCCCGUGAACCUUUACUAUAGCUUGACACUGAACAUUGAGCCUUGAUGUGUAGGAUAGGUGGGAGGCUUUGAAGCGUGGACGCCAGUCUGCGUGGAGCCAACCUUGAAAUACCACCCUUUAAUGUUUGAUGUUCUAACGUUGGCCCCUAAUCGGGGUUGCGGACAGUGUCUGGUGGGUAGUUUGACUGGGGCGGUCUCCUCCCAAAGAGUAACGGAGGAGCACGAAGGUUAGCUAAUCCUGGUCGGACAUCAGGAGGUUAGUGCAAUGGCAUAAGCUAGCUUGACUGCGAGCGUGACGGCGCGAGCAGGUGCGAAAGCAGGUCAUAGUGAUCCGGUGGUUCUGAAUGGAAGGGCCAUCGCUCAACGGAUAAAAGGUACUCCGGGGAUAACAGGCUGAUACCGCCCAAGAGUUCAUAUCGACGGCGGUGUUUGGCACCUCGAUGUCGGCUCAUCACAUCCUGGGGCUGAAGUAGGUCCCAAGGGUAUGGCUGUUCGCCAUUUAAAGUGGUACGCGAGCUGGGUUUAGAACGUCGUGAGACAGUUCGGUCCCUAUCUGCCGUGGGCGCUGGAGAAUUGAGGGGGGCUGCUCCUAGUACGAGAGGACCGGAGUGGACGCAUCACUGGUGUUCGGGUUGUCAUGCCAAUGGCAUUGCCCGGUAGCUAAAUGCGGAAGAGAUAAGUGCUGAAAGCAUCUAAGCACGAAACUUGCCCCGAGAUGAGUUCUCCCUGAGACUUUAAGUCUCCUGAAGGAACGUUAAAGACGAUGACGUUGAUAGGUCGGGUGUGUAAGCGUAGCGAUACGUUGAGCUAACCGAUACUAAUGAACCGUGAGGCUUAACCUUACAACACCGAAGGUGUUU